CUUCUGGAAGGGACGUAUUUAUUAGAUAAAAGGCCGACCGGGCUCUGCCCGCCUCGCGGUGACUCAUGAUAACUUCACGAAUCGCACGGCCUCGUGCCGGCGAUGUUUCAUUCAAAUUUCUGCCCUAUCAACUUUUGAUGGUAGGAUAGAGGCCUACCAUGGUGGUAACGGGUGACGGAGAAUUAGGGUUCGAUUCCGGAGAGGGAGCCUGAGAAACGGCUACCACAUCCAAGGAAGACAGCAGGCGCGCAAAUUACCCAAUCCUGACACAGGGAGGUAGUGACAAUAAAUAACAAUACCGGGCCUUUGGUCUGGUAAUUGGAAUGAGUACAAUCUAAACCCCUUAACGAGGAUCAAUUGGAGGGCAAGUCUGGUGCCAGCAGCCGCGGUAAUUCCAGCUCCAAUAGCGUAUAUUUAAGUUGCUGCAGUUAAAAAGCUCGUAGUUGGAUUUCGGGUGGGGCCUGUCGGUCCGCCGUUUCGGUGUGCACUGACCGGGCCCACCUUGGUGCCGGGGACGGGCUCCUGGGCUUCACUGUCCGGGACCCGGAGUCGGCGAGGUUACUUUGAGUAAAUUAGAGUGUUCAAAGCAGGCCUACGCUCUGAAUACAUUAGCAUGGAAUAACACGAUAGGACUCUGGCCUAUCUUGUUGGUCUGUAGGACCGGAGUAAUGAUUAAGAGGGACAGUCGGGGGCAUUCGUAUUUCAUUGUCAGAGGUGAAAUUCUUGGAUUUAUGAAAGACGAAACUACUGCGAAAGCAUUUGCCAAGGAUGUUUUCAUUAAUCAAGAACGAAAGUUGGGGGCUCG
rnacentral:rRNA from 1 species